GACGAGCCACACGAACGUUAUUCGGAAUUACUGGGCUUAAAGGGUGCGUAGGCGGCGUGGAAAGUUGGGUGUGAAAUCCCUCGGCUUAACCGAGGAACUGCGCCCAAAACUACCAUGCUCGAGGAAGAUAGAGGUGAGCGGAACUUACGGUGGAGCGGUGAAAUGCGUUGAUAUCGUAAGGAACACCCGUGGCGAAAGCGGCUCACUGGACCUCUUCUGACGCUGAGGCGCGAAAGCCAGGGGAGCAAACGGG
rnacentral:rRNA from 1 species